UAUAAGUGUACUUGUGGGUUUCGUGUCCAACGCUUGAUCGUCCGUCUUAUUUAAAAAAAUAUGAUUAGAAUUUUUAUUGUUAUUAGAUGAUAAAACAUGAAUAGUACUUUAUAUGUGACUUUUUUUUAUAAAAUUUUUAAAUAAGACGGACAGUCAAAUAUUGGACAUGAAAACCCACAACUGCACUUAUA
rfam:Oryza glaberrima chromosome 2 Oglab02_0212_15, whole genome shotgun sequence.